rnacentral:ncRNA from 1 species
AUUGAAUUGCCGCCGGGUAACGUCUCAGUCUGUUCCAUUAGGCCAUAGAAGGAACAGAUAUGGAGACGUUUUUUUC